rnacentral:rRNA from 1 species
UACGUAGGGUCCGAGCGUUGUCCGGAAUUAUUGGGCGUAAAGAGCUCGUAGGCGGUUUGUCGCGUCUGCUGUGAAAUCCCGAGGCUCAACCUCGGGCCUGCAGUGGGUACGGGCAAACUAGAGUGUUGCAGGGGAGACUGGAAUUCCUGGUGUAGCGGUGAAAUGCGCAGAUAUCAGGAGGAACACCGGUGGCGAAGGCGGGUCUCUGGGCAACAACUGACGCUGAGGAGCGAAAGCGUGGGGAGCGAACAGG